CCCAGUGAGCAGAAUAGUAGAAAACAAUAUAUUAACAUUUCAUGCUUUCAUGGAAUGCAACACAUCACAACAAAUCACAUCUCGGAUGGUAUUGUCACCUAUAGUCCUCUACAUAGGUCCAACUGUGCCGGGACAUAGAAUGGGUCAACCGGUCUUUCCCUUAACAUAACAUAUCAUACAGUCCAACUGUGCCAGGGACGUAGAAUGGGUACAACCUGGACUUCCUCUUACAUCGUGCCAGGGACGUAGAAUGGGUACAACCUGGACUUCCAUACUAUAUCAUGCCAUAACAUCAUCAUAUCGUAUGAGGACUAAAGGAUCAU
rnacentral:lncRNA from 1 species